rnacentral:rRNA from 1 species
UACGUAGGGGGCUAGCGUUGUCCGGAAUCAUUGGGCGUAAAGCGCGCGUAGGCGGCCAGAUAAGUCCGGUGUGAAAGUCACAGGCUCAACCUGUGAAUGCCGCUGGAAACUGUCUGGCUCGAGUCCGGGGGGGGCGAGUGGAAUUCCUGGUGUAGCGGUGAAAUGCGCAGAUAUCAGGAGGAACACCAAUGGCGAAGGCAGCUCGCUGGAACGGUACUGACGCUGAGGCGCGAAAGCGUGGGGAGCGAACAGG